rnacentral:ncRNA from 1 species
AGGAGCCGUGUGAGGUGAAAGUCUCAUGCACAGUUUUAAAUAAGAGAAAGAAGUGAGGAAUCCUCUUUUUGACUCUGAC